rnacentral:tRNA from 1 species
GCCGGAGUGGUGAAAUUGGUAGACGCGCUGGUUUCAGGGACCAGUAUUCUUCGGGAUGUGCCGGUUCGAGUCCGGCCUCCGGCA